rnacentral:lncRNA from 1 species
UGCCAUCAUAAUCGUUGCUGUAACCCCGGCCUAUUUAAAAAUCUCCCAACUUACAAUGCCAUUAAAUGGCAUAAAGUUCAGAAAUGAAAAGCUUUAAUCUUCUUGGACUAAUAAAUGUAGAGAAACGUGUAAAAUGCACAGCAGAACUGUUUUCAAUGCUGCACUUCAGAAUACAGGACAAUGUUUGAACUAUUCAGCGGCUGUAAACUUAAAUCUUAAGGCAACAAGCCUUUCAAUCGAAUGGCUCAUAUCAAAUGGCCCUUGGAAGGACAGUCCCAUGAUUCCUUAUUCAUCUUGAUGACUCAUCUGACAUAUCAGCAACUCUUCCAGUCUUCCUGCUAGGAUACUAGUCAUUCCAAGGUCAUCAUCUGACUCAAUGAUGAUAAUUUGUUAAUCGACAAUAGGUCGAACAACUAAUUCAUUCUAAGUUCAAACAAACUCUUUGCUCCGUCUGGUACUCAGAUUUCAGUUUACUCCGAUCUGCAACUGCAUACAUGUCAAUAUACACAUGAAGGAGAUAAACCUCUACUUGUUUAAGACUAAUCGUCUCUCUCUCUCUCUCUAUAUAUAUAUAUAUAUAUAAUUUUGAUCUGCUGUACCGCGGCCCGUCGCGCACUGUAUCAGCCAUAUAGGGGCCAACUGUGCGUAAUACCUUAGUCCUCCCAAGCCCCAGCCAAGCUGUUCAUGUUCACUUUCUCAAGGCUGCCAGUUUUAUGAGAGGAUUGGAAUUUUAGUCUAAACAAAAGCAGAAGGACUAUACUUGCCAUACUUACCCAAACGACGAAGCCAAUAGAAAUGCGAUAACAGGAACCAUGUUAAGGAAUGCACGUAAGAAUGUAGCCGAGGCAACAAGUAUUGUGUCAUUGUUAGCCCUCAAAUGGAUCAACAUUUUUCAUUUAUCAUCAGCGAUCAUAACCAUUUAAAAUGAACAAAUUAAUCGGGGGAACCCCAAUAAUUGUGGAUGUUAGUACUAACCAAAUUAUGUAAGUAAAAUAAUUUUGGUGAUUUUAAUUAUUUCAUUUGCGAAUUUAUAGGAGAGAGAAAAGAAGAAAGAGAAUUAAACAUUAAAGAGAGGAGAGAGAAAAAUAUUAAUGAAAUUAAUGACGUGUCGUUUAAUUUUGACCCUUCAUUUUAAUCUAAUCUAAUGGUUGAAAAAUUAUUUUUAAACUUGUAUUUAAAAGUAUGUCUGUUAAACAUACCUCAUAUAUAGUCAUUUUUUAAUAAAGGCAUCACACUUUGUUAAAGUGAAAAUGUCACUAACAAAUGAAAAAGACACAAAUUUAAUAUACGGUGUAUAUAUAUAUAUAUAUUAUUUUCUUUUUAAUUGUGGGUCUUUAGUCUCAAUGGGUAGGUGGGUACAGUCAAUAUGUAUAUUAUUCUACGGUAUUUUCAUUUUUAAAAACUGAAUUUUUAAUAUAGUUUUAAUAAAAUUUUAAAUACUGUUUUAAAAACUGUAUUUUCAUUUUUAAACACUGUUUUAACAAUAUUAUAAACUGAUUUUUCAAUUAUAAUUUACAACGUUAUACAAUCCUGAAUAUAUAAUUAAAAAAUAAAAAUACCUGAGAAUAAUAUACAUAUUGACGGUACUCGCCUACCCAUUCAGACCAAGGACCCACAAUUAAAAAUAAAAUAAAAAAUAAAAAUAGUAAUAUUUCUCUUAUCGUUUUCAUAUGGAAACGUACCAUCUUUUGUGCAUUAAUGUUAAAAUGUGUUUUUUUUUUACUUUUACAAGAUAUGCCAUAUGGGGGGAUUCUUUAAUACUCUACCUGCUAACUUGGAUGACUGAAUAGAUAAAUAAAAACCAUUUAAGCCCAAAAGAUUUUUGUAAGUUGGGAAACACUAUUACCACCUUGCCUGUUGGUUCGUUGAGAUCUAAGGAAAUACAUCGAACAAGUAUAUGAAAAAUCACAUGCUCCUUUUGGUUAAUAACAUUCAGUCAAGGAACUGAAAAGCCCAGAAAGAAGUGUUUGCUUCUGGAGGAGAACGCUAACGAUAGUUGAUUGGCAUGUUUGUUUACUGCAGAUUCCAAAUAUACCUUCGUGCUUCUCAAGGUAUCAUCACCACCUUCGACUAAAAAACAUAACAGUAGUAGUGGGAUCUAAAUGUUGUUUCCUCUUUUUUUUUUUUUUUUCUUUCAAAAUCCGUUCUGUGCGAUCUGAAAUCUUUUGAGAUUUUACGUUCAGACAUUUAUAUUACAGGCAGCACAGAGGUCUACUUAAUAUGUACGGAGAAAUUCAUCUUUAUUUAAAGAAAAUAAACCCUAUGAAGAUCAAACUCAUUCUCUAAAUAUAUGUCAAAUAUAUGAGGCCAUGAUUAUCUUGGAGCUGUUCUAAGAUAGAGCAUGAAUCAUAGUCAAACACGCAGAGUGAUAGAUACUAAAAUAUACGUUAUAACUUUAAUUAUAUGGUUACGAAUGGGUGCUCUACCUUAGAGCAGUUCUAAGAUAAUUGGACUCAAUAUAUGAAUACCGUUGGGUUACAUGUCCAAAUAAAAACUUAUGCUUUAUAUUUAAUGACGGAGUCACAUAGGGAGCAACGAGGACAAUCUGAUUCUGAAACUUUUUUUUUUAUUUCAACUAAAAAUUUAUUUUUCCCCUAAUAAAAAAUUUAAUUUGGCCCCCUAACUUUAAAUAAUACGAAGAAAAGGUUAAAAUUUAUAUUUUCAUUCCCAAAUCAUUUUAGAUGAGUAUGUUGAAUCUAAAAUAAAAUAAAAACACUUGGAAAAAAAAUCAAAUUCCUUUUAUAAUAUUAAAUUCCUACAUUCCUCAAAGUAAACUCCACAUCAAAUGGUUAAGAUUUAAAAACUCAGCAUUUGUUUUCUUGUUUUAUUCUGAACUCGGCAUCACCCCCACUAAUGACAGAUUAUUUACUAAUACAAUUAGUCUUUCUAUUUACUAAUAUUUAAUCCUUAAAAAAAAACCAUUUGAUUACAGUUGUUAUUAUAAUAAAAUAAUUCUAAAGCCUCAAAUUAAUUAUUAUUCAAUUAACAGCAUUAACUUCCUACAUUCCACCGAGUAGGCUCCCCAUCUAAUGGAUAAGACUUGAGAUUUAAAAACUCAGCAUUUAUUUUUUUUUGGCUUUAUUUUUUUUUCAAGAUAACAACUUGGCAUCAACCCUACUAUAAUGACAUUUUGCUAGCGCUUAAUCUUUUAAGUUUCUAAUAUUUAAUCCUUUCAAAGGAAAACACCUUUUAAUUAAAGUGGGGCACUGAUCAAUUCGAUAUGGUUCAGUUCUGAAUAGAACCAAAAUGAUCAAUUUUUAUUUAAAUUCAAAUAUAUAAACGAAACUAAACUGAGCCAUACCGAAGUGAUUUGGUUCUCAGUUUAGUUCGUUUUUCUUUUAUUUUAAAACCAUAAAAUUCUUUGUGUUUUGUGAUUUUUUUUUAUUUUCAUUUUUUAAUGAACCGAUCAAUCUUUGUUAAUUUCUUAAAUCGAACUGAAUUACUAGUUUGAUUCGAUUUUUUUUUUUUUUGUAAAAACUGAUUUUUUUCCCACCCCUAUUUUUUUAUUACCAUUAUUAUAAUAAUAUUCUGUGGCCACAAAUUAAUUAUUAUUUAAAGGAAUCCCUAAGUUACAUAUAAUGUAUCUUACAAUUUUUGUUUUAUUCUUCUUGGCUAAUUUCAUAUGGAUCCUUUUAAUUUUACCUAUUUCUAAAUUUUAUAGUUAUGGAUGCAUUUGUCUUCUUCCAUCUCUUAUACAUCUAUUUUUUACUCUUUCUAGAGUUUUAUUUAUUUCUUUAAGUAAUAAUAAAUGAUUAUCAAAUUCGUAUAAGUCCAUAAAUUCGGAAUAAAUGUUUGGUCCUAAAUUUAUCAAUCCUAUCAUUUCAUCCUCUAACAAAUCUAUUUUCUGGUUUAUCAAAUUUAUAUAUGCAUUUACUGUAUUUUCCCAUCCUAAGAGUAAAUUAUCUAUACAACUUGCCAGUCCUUGUAUUGUAUUAACAGCCUGCUGAUUCAUAAUGUUUAUGUUUUAUACCAAUAUAUUAAAAAGUUUAUAAGUUUAUCUAUAAAUUUCAUUUUCUUUUCUAUUAAAAUUUCACCACCUGUUGUGUCUAUAAAUCUUUCUCUAAGUUCCUCGGUUAAUUCAAGUUCUAUAUUUCUUAUAUUAUUUUUAUCAGUUUUUAAUGCUUUUAUCAAAUUUUUUAUUUCUUCUUUAUUAUAUACCUUUAGUGUAUAUAAACUGUUAACUAUUCCUUGUAUAGGAUCCAUGUUUUAUCUUUAGUGUACUGGCUCUGAUACCAUUUUCGGGUGUACCGUGUAUAAAAAACAAAACAAACAAAAUUACAGGUUUAUAACAAAUUCUCAACAAAACACAGAUAUAUUAUACUUUAUUUACAAUAAAAUUCAAUGCUUAAAAUUAAAUUAAGAGUGCAGUACAAAUUUUAUUAUUAAUUUAACAAACUAAUAUAUAUAUGAUUAACAGAUCUGUGUAUAUCCAGUAUGUCUUAUGAAUAUGUUUUUAUGUACUUUAAUUUUUUAUGGAAAAGUACGUGGCGUUGUUUUACCUCUAGGUACAACUAUCAAAAGUAGCACUUUGGACCAGUAGCCCGCAACCCGAAGAGGUUUUCAGCCGAUAUACUUUUCAUACUUCUGAGGUUAUAUUUCAAAUUCUCCGUUAUCUGAAUCAUAGAUAUAUGAAGGUUCAGCUUUAUAAAUUUUUUGCUCUAAAUAGGCUUUUGCUAUAUCUAGUCCUUCUUCUAUUGUUAACAUAAUUAUAUUAUGUUUUAAGUUAUCUAUUUCAAUAUCGUUUAUAAUUUUUCUUUUUAUUUCAUGGGGUAAUUUAAGUGAAUCUACUGCUAGUAAGUCUUCUGUCCUAACAAGUUCUUGUUUACUAAACAAAUACGAGCUCUGUUUAAAUGAUCCAAAAUUAAAAUCUAUUAUCAUCAUGUAUUCAUUAUAUGUUAUUUUUGUAGUUGGAUUUAUCAUAUAUUUUUUAGAUUCUCCUAAAUAAAAUCUGUGAUUCAUGUUAUAAAUUAAAAGUUUGUUCCAUGAUUAAGAAUUUGCUUUUCCUCCAUAAAUCAUUCCAUCAACAACCUCCACCAAGAGAUAAAAGUUGAGUAUUAUUACCUAAAAUAUCUUUCCUUCUUUCUCUUCUGAUCUCCUUCCAGUGACCUUCAGCCUGGUUGUCCUGUUCCCUCAACGGCCUCCUGCCUCAACGAGAUCUGUGGACUCAGAUGGCUUUACUGUGUGGAUUUUGAUCGUUUUAGUAAAGAAGUAUUAGAUAGAUUUAGGUUUCUCUUCUUUUUCUCUGAUGAUGUUUGUUUUUUGAUCGAUGAUGUUCUGAUUUAGGAGUUUGAGCAAUAGGUGUUUAGAGAUUCAUUAUUGAGAGAGUUUUUGAAUUAUGUGGAAUGUUUGCGAGAUCGGUC